rnacentral:rRNA from 1 species
UGGGGAAUAUUGCACAAUGGGCGAAAGCCUGAUGCAGCAACGCCGCGUGAACGAUGAAGGCCUUCGGGUCGUAAAGUUCUGUCCUCAAGGAAGAUAAUGACGGUACUUGAGGAGGAAGCCCCGGCUAACUACGUGCCAGCAGCCGCGGUAAUACGUAGGGGGCUAGCGUUAUCCGGAUUUACUGGGCGUAAAGGGUGCGUAGGCGGUUUUUUAAGUCAGAAGUGAAAGGCUACGGCUUAACCGUAGUAAGCUUUUGAAACUGGAGAACUUGAGUGCAGGAGAGGAGAGUGGAAUUCCUAGUGUAGUGGUGAAAUGCGUAGAUAUUAGGAGGAACACCAGUAGCGAAGGCGGCUCUCUGGACUGUAACUGACGCUGAGGCACGAAAGCGUGGGGAGCAAACAGG